AGAGUUUGAUCAUGGCUCAGGAUGAACGCUAGCGGCAGGCUUAAUACAUGCAAGUCGAGGGGUAAGGUUUACUUCGGUAAAUACACGACCGGCGCACGGGGGAGUAACGCGUAUGCAACCUACCUAUAACAGAGGGAUAGCCCGAAGAAAUUCGGGAUUAAUACCCCAUAAUAUUUAGAUUUGGCAUCAGAUUUAAAUUAAAACUCCGGUGGUUUGAGAUGGGCAUGCGUGACAUUAGCUAGUUGGUAAGGUAAUGGCUUACCAAGGCUACGAUGUCUAGGGGUUCUGAGAGGAUGAUCCCCCACACUGGUACUGAGACACGGACCAGACUCCUACGGGAGGCAGCAGUCAGGAAUAUUGGUCAAUGGGCGCAAGCCUGAACCAGCCAUCCCGCGUGUAGGAAGACUGCCCUAUGGGUUGUAAACUACUUUUAUAAAGGAAGAAACCCUUCUACGUGUAGAAGGCUGACUGUACUUUACGAAUAAGCACCGGCUAACUCCGUGCCAGCAGCCGCGGUAAUACGGAGGGUGCAAGCGUUAUCCGGAUUCAUUGGGUUUAAAGGGUGCGCAGGCGGACCUGUUAGUCAGUGGUGAAAUCCCGGGGCUCAACUCCGGAACUGCCAUUGAUACUGCAGGUCUUGAAUACGGUUGAAGUAGGCGGAAUGUAGCAUGUAGCGGUGAAAUGCAUAGAUAUGCUACAGAACACCGAUCGCGAAGGCAGCUUACUAAGCCGAUAUUGACGUUCAGGCACGAAAGCGUGGGUAGCGAACAGGAUUAGAUACCCUGGUAGUCCACGCCGUAAACGAUGAUCACUCGUUGUUGGCAAUACACAGUCAGUGACUAAGGGAAACCGAUAAGUGAUCCACCUGGGGAGUACGAUCGCAAGGUUGAAACUCAAAGGAAUUGACCGGGGGCCCGCACAAGCGGUGGAUUAUGUGGUUUAAUUCGAUCCAACGCGAAGAACCUUACCUGGGCUCAAAUGUAGAGUGACAACCCCCGAAAGGGGGCUUUCUUCGGACACUUUACAAGGUGCUGCAUGGUUGUCGUCAGCUCGUGCCGUGAGGUGUCGGGUUAAGUCCCAUAACGAGCGCAACCCCUACUCUUAGUUGCCAGCAUGUAAUGAUGGGGACUCUAAGAGAACUGCCUACGCAAGUAGAGAGGAAGGUGGGGAUGACGUCAAAUCAGCACGGCCCUUACGUCCAGGGCUACACACGUGCUACAAUGGCCGGUACAGAGGGCAGCCACCACGCGAGUGGGAGCAAAUCUCCAAAGCCGGUCUCAGUUCGGAUCGAAGUCUGCAACCCGACUUCGUGAAGCUGGAAUCGCUAGUAAUCGCGCAUCAGCCAUGGCGCGGUGAAUACGUUCCCGGGCCUUGUACACACCGCCCGUCAAGCCAUGGAAGCUGGGAGUACCUGAAGUCGGUAACCGUUAAGGAGCCGCCUAGGGUAAAACUAGUGACUGGGGCUAAGUCGUAACAAGGUA
rnacentral:rRNA from 1 species